rnacentral:ncRNA from 1 species
GAAAAGUUUUAUUCUGGCUUAUGUUACUUUUUAUAUAAUUAUUUUACAUGUAAGUUUUAGCGUGAAUAUAAAUAGUUCUUAAAGAUUUUAUUAAUUUAGGCGCAGUAUUUUACAUUAAAUAUCAAUGUAAAUUGGAUUUAGUAAAUUAUAUAGUUCUGGUAAAAUUUGUGCCAGCCACCGCGGUUAAACAAAAGGGGCAAAAAAGUAUUUUUAGUUGUAGUUAAUUUAUGUUUUUAUAGAGUUAAUUAAAUAAUAUUGUUGUUAGGUGAAAUUUUAAAAUAUUAGAUGAACUUUUUAUUAAUUAGGUGAAGCUAAGAAAAUUAGUUAAUAAACUAGGAUUAGAUACCCUACUAUACUAAUUGUUAUUUAAUAAGGCUUGAGUAGUAAUAGUUAUGUUCUUAAAACUCAAAGAAUUUGGCGGUGUUUUAGUCUUAUCAGAGGAAUUUGCCCCGUAAUCGAUAAUCCACGUUUUACUUUACUUAAUUUGGUUAACAGCUUGUAUACCGCCGUCAUCAGGGUAUAUUAGGAGAUUAUGCUCAAGGAUUAUAAUUAUAAAAUAUGUCAGGUCAAGGUGCAGUUGAUAAUUAAGAGGAGGUGAAUUACAAUAUAAACAUAUAUUAUGGAUUUAAAAUUGAAAGAUUUUAAUAAAGGAGGAUUUGGGUGUAAUAAAAUAUAGAUAAAUUUUAUGAUAUAAAGCUCUAAAACAUGCACACAUCGCCCGUCGCUCUCAUUUUAAGGUGAGAUAAGUCGUAACAUAGUAGAUGUACCGGAAGGUGUAUCUAGAAAGUU